rnacentral:rRNA from 1 species
UACGGAGGGUGCAAGCGUUAUCCGGAUUCACUGGGUUUAAAGGGUGCGUAGGCGGGUUGGUAAGUCCGUGGUGAAAUCUCCAAGCUUAACUUGGAAACUGCCGUGGAUACUAUCAAUCUUGAAUAUCGUGGAGGUAAGCGGAAUAUGUCAUGUAGCGGUGAGAUGCUUAGAUAUGACAUAGAACACCAAUUGCGUAGGCAGCUUACUACACGAUCAUUGACGCUGAGGCACGAAAGCGUGGGGAGCAAACAGG